rnacentral:sRNA from 1 species
CCUUUGUACACACCGCCCGUCGCUACUACCGAUUGAAUGGCUCAGUGAGGCGUUCGGACUGGCUCGGGGAGGUUGGCAACGACCACCCCAAGCCGGAAAGUUCGUCAAACUCGGUCAUUUAGAGGAAGUAAAAGUCGUAACAAGGUCUCCGUAGGUGAACCUGCGGAGGGAUCAUUACACAAUAAACAUAUGAAGGCUGCACCGCCAGUUGGCGGCAAGGCUGGAGUAUUUUAUUACCCUUGUCUUUUGCGCACUUGUUGUUUCCUGGGCGGGUUCGCCCGCCACCAGGACCACAUGAUAAACCUUUUUUAUGCAGUUGCAAUCAGCGUCAGUACAACAAAUGUAAAUCAUUUACAACUUUCAACAACGGAUCUCUUGGUUCUGGCAUCGAUGAAGAACGCAGCGAAAUGCGAUACGUAGUGUGAAUUGCAGAAUUCAGUGAAUCAUCGAAUCUUUGAACGCACAUUGCGCCCUUUGGUAUUCCAAAGGGCAUGCCUGUUCGAGCGUCAUUUGUACCCUCAAGCUUUGCUUGGUGUUGGGCGUUUUGUCUUUGGUUGCCAAAGACUCGCCUUAAAACGAUUGGCAGCCGGCCUACUGGUUUCGCAGCGCAGCACAUUUUUGCGCUUGCAAUCAGCAAAAGAGGACGGCACUCCAUCAAGACUCUUUAUCACUUUUGACCUCGGAUCAGGUAGGGAUACCCGCUGAACUUAAGCA